rnacentral:rRNA from 1 species
CCUACGGGAUGCACCAGUGGGGAAUUUUCCGCAAUGGGCGGAAGCCUGACGGAGCAAUGCCGCGUGGAGGUAGAAGGCCCACGGGUCGUGAACUUCUUUCCCCGGAGAAGAAGCAAUGACGGUAUCUGGGGAAUAAGCAUCGGCUAACCCUGUGCCAGCAGCCGCGGUAAUACAGAGGAUGCAAGCGUUAUCCGGAAUGAUUGGGCGUAAAGCGUCUGUAGGUGGCUUUUUAAGUCCGCCGUCAAAUCCCAGGGCUCAACCCUGGACAGGCGGUGGAAACUACCAAGCUGGAGUACGGUAGGGGGAGAGGGAAUUUCCGGUGGAGCGGUGAAAUGCGUAGAGAUCGGAAGGAACACCGGCGGCGAAAGCACUCUGCUGGGCCGACACUGACGCUGAGAGACGAAAGCUAGGGGAGCGAAUGGGAUUAGAUACCCCCGUAGUC